AUGGCAGAGGCUGCUCUUCUUCUUGUCACAACAAAGAUUGGAAUAGCUGUGGGAGUAGAAAUGCUUCACUACGCUAGGUCUGUUGCAAAACUCUCUGAGAACAUGACACUGAUAAGGAAUGACCAAGAGCUUAUUCGAGCAUUUCUCAAGGAGAUUGGAAGGAAAGCUUCGACAGAUGGAGUCACCGAAACAUGGACAGGGCAAGUCCGAAGAUUGGCGUAUGAUAUGGAAGACAUUGUGGAUCAAUUUGUGUAUAUUGUUGGCAAACAGCAUCAGAAAGGAUCAUGGUGGAGUAGUGUGAAGAAAAUCUUGAAGAAACCCCAGUAUCUGUUUACACUAGGUGAAAUCGCUACUGGCCUUGAGAAAAUAAACCGAGCCCUUACACAUCUUAAAGAAAACAGAGAUUGGAUUCAACCAAUAACUGGUGUGGGCGAUAUUUUUGCAACAAAUUAUGACAGCCAACAGCAACUUUAUCUUCCUGGACAUGAUUACUCAAUCUCUGAUGAUGAACUUGUGGGAUUUGAUAAAAAUAGAAAACUAUUGAUGGGGUCACUGAAUUUGGAAAAUUGUCUAAAUCUGCAAAUCAUUGCCUUGUGGGGUAUGGGUGGUAUCGGGAAAAGCACUCUUGUCAGUAAUGUGUUCCGAUAUGAAGCAUCCAACUUUGAAUGCCGUGUAUGGGUUUCCGUCUCUCAGUCCUAUAAACUAGAUGAUAUUUGGAGAAGAAUGCUGAAAGAAAUCUAUCCUAAAGACAAGAAAGAAUUUGAUGCUGAGAAGAUGACUUGUGCAGAGCUACAAGAUGAACUGAAAGCAAUCCUGAAAACAAAGCGAUACUUGAUCAUACUGGAUGAUAUCUGGACAGCUGAAGACUUUAGAAAAAUUACAGAGGUUCUUGUCGAUGCAAAAAUGGGAAGCAGAAUAAUAAUGACGACAAGAUCUGAAGAAGUUGCUUCAAUAGCUCCUGAUGGUUGCAGGAUCAAAGUGGUGCCUCUUGAGGAGGAGGAUGCAUGGCGUCUUUUUUGCAGGAAGGCAUUUCCAAGCACUGGAAAUCACAUCUGCCCAUUAGCAUUACAAGAGUGUGGUAAAUUGAUAGUGGGGAGGUGUGAUGGUUUACCAUUAGCUCUUGUGGCCAUAGGGAGCUUAUUGUCUCUUAAGACGCAGAAUGUUACAGAGUGGAAACUAUUUGACGCACAACUUAUUUCCGAGCUACACAAAAAUGACAACCUAAGUCGCGUGGAGAAAAUUCUGAAUCUAAGCUACAAAUACUUGCCUGACUAUUUGAAGAGUUGUUUCUUGUAUUGUGCCAUGUUCCCAGAAGACCACUUGAUCCAUAGAAAAAGACUGAUCAGACUAUGGGUCGCUGAAGGGUUUGUUGAACAAAUUGGAAAUUGCAGUUUAGAAGAUGUUGCUGAAGGUUACCUGACACAGCUCGUUCAACGAAGCAUGCUUCAUGUGGUAGAGAGGAACAGUUUUAACAGGAUCAGGUGUCUUCGAAUGCAUGAUCUUGUACGUGAAUUAGCCAUUUACCAAUCUAACAGAGAGAGUUUCAGUACGACUUAUGAUGAUAGUCAUGGGGUGAUGCAUGUGGAGUCGGGUUCUCGUCGUAUGUCGGUGCUCCAAUGCAAAAAUGGCAUCCGACCAAGUACUGGUCAAUGCAGGCUUCGUACCUUCAUAGCAUUUAGCACCAGCAAUGCAUCAUCUUCAUUGUUUCCCUCAGAAUCUAAAUACCUUGCUGUGCUGGAGCUAUCAGGAUUACCUAUUGAGACUGUUCCAAAUUCAAUUGGGGAGUUAUUCAACCUUAAGUAUUUGGGCCUCAACAAUACCAAUGUGAAGAUACUCCCAAAAUCAGUCACGAAGCUUCACAACUUAGAAACACUGAGCCUUAGAGAUACAGAUUGUUUGUCUCUACCUCGAGGGUCAGAAAAGCUGAAGAGAGUUCGGCACAUUAUAAUUCUUAAACUUCUGGACAAAACAUAUGCGAGUUUCAAAUGCUUUGAACCUAUGGAGCCUUUGGAGGGAUUGUGGAAUUUGAAGGACCUGCAAACUCUGGGUGCAGUUCGAGCUAGCAAAAUUUUUGUUUCAAAACUAGCAAGUUUAUCUCAGCUGAGGAUCCUUAACAUUGUUGGGGUAAGGAGCAGCCACUGUGCAUAA
rnacentral:rRNA from 1 species